GGUUGUAUGUUACUGUUAAAGGAAACCUUGGGGACACUAAAGAACAUGAAUGUGCUAGAACAGUCAAUUUACCUGCUAGUAGUGUAACAUGCACAACAAUCAAGGACCAGAUUUCUAUUGGAAAAUUCACGUGUCUGGCGUUUGCUGAAUUUGAGUCUGAAUAUGGUGCAAGGAUCAUUUUCACUAGGUUGAGGGUUGACGUGAUGGAUCAUGAUGCAGUUAAGACACAUUGGUUUGUUCCUGACAAAGGUUUUGAAGAAAUUGGCCUUGCAAACAGUACAAACGAAUACUGCUUCGACAAGAUCUAUCCUACUGGACUUCCUCAAGAAGCAGCCUGGUUUCCAGAUUUUAGGAGAGGGGAUAAUCCUCUAGAUGAUGAAUAUGGGAUGUUCUACUAUCUGUUUCAAAGUUUUGUUUUUCCACCCUUUUUUGUAUUUUUGAUCGGCAUUUUCGGUAUUAUUGCUUGCGUACGUGGACAAGUGUGCCGAUGUUGCAACCGAAGAAACCGUGCAUCUGGGUAUGGUAAUCAUUCUAUAGUCACAGUACAAGCCCCAUAAGCGAAGGAUGGAUUUUACCAGGCUCAGUCUGCACUAUUAAAUAAUCAACAUAGCCACGCCCUGCUUGAUUGGACCGUAAAAUAUUUUGACUGCAACAAUAUUGUCUUCCAAAGAUCACUACUUAUACUUGCUGGCCACACAAAUCUCAUCUUGGACAAAAAAUGACUGAGUUAUGAGCCAACAACGGCAAUUUUUAUUUUCCAUAAUAUUGGUUGUUGAUAUUUGAAGCGGUAAAUGCGAUGAACUUUCAUUUCAUUUCAUUUCAUUUCAUUUCAAGCACCAAGUAUGGUUAUUAACUUCUGAAUAACAUGUUUAGAUACGUAUUCUUCAAUCUAAUCUUUAACUGGGUACCAGGAAUUUUCAGCUGUACAACAAAAGAGAUUUUGGUGUACAACUCUUUUGUACUUUUGUACAAAUAAAGAUAUAAAUCCAUGCCAUUCGCUUCGCCUAGAGCUUUUGAAUGACCCAAUUUCUGGAUCCCAGAUUGUUUUUGGCUUAAAUGAAAGACAGAUAGUACAUGCUCUGGCUGAUGAUAUUUUAUGAUAUCAAAUGAUGCUACCUACUGCAAAUUAUUGGUUUACUUUACCAUUUCUGAUACAUAAUCAAAUAAAAAAACAAAAAAAUUCCUUUUUUUUUGUCUUUUUUUAUGUCUUGAUCUCUUACUUUCUAGGAUCUGUUUCUUUCUUGAUUGAUUAUGUCACUGUACUUACCUUUAUUAUACCUACAUGUAUUGUAUGGUUUCUGCCUCUAUUUAGUUUAGUGUGGUUUACAAUAAAAGAUGUUUUAAUUUUGUCUUUGCCUUAUAUGAUGAGUUAUACUUUAGUUCACUUUUACACAUUUGCUCACAUCACUCACAGUCAGCCGCUCUGACAUGGUUAACCACCUUCCUUGUGUUGUUGGUUAAUCAUAUGAGCGGGAUAUAAAUACCUCA